rnacentral:lncRNA from 1 species
GUGGGAAGGGUCUGGAAUGGGCACAUGAGAUCCCUGCCCAAAGAAACGCGUCUGGUGAACUGUCAUGUUCGCCUAGCGAACAUAACCUUCGCCUAGCGAAGGAACGCGCCUCAACCUCGCCCCAGCGAGAUUGAGAGGUUUUGCUACUGUAAUGUUCGCUGUGGACUCGCUGGAGCUUCGCCUAGCGAGUGAGUGCUAGCUGUGUUUUUCACCAAAACAGAAUGAGUUCGCUAUUACCUUCGCCUUGAGCUCGCCUAGCG